AAAUUGGUCAGCUAAGCUAAGCUAUUGGGUUCAUACCCCGGAAAUAAAGGAAUAUACCUUUCCUAUUUA
rnacentral:tRNA from 1 species